rnacentral:rRNA from 1 species
UGGUGGAGCGAUUUGUCUGGUUAAUUCCGAUAACGAACGAGACUCUAGCCUAUUAAAUAGUUCACCGCCCGUGAAUGGUAGCGGUGCCCAACUUCUUAGAGGGACAAGCGGGGCUUACCCGCACGAGAUUGAGCAAUAACA